rnacentral:rRNA from 1 species
GGCUCAGAGUGAACGCUGGCGGCGUGCUUAACACAUGCAAGUCGAACGAGAACAUGCAGUAGCAAUACUGUGAUGCUAAGUGGCGCACGGGUGAGUAAUGUAUAGGUAACAUGCCCUUAAGAGGGGGAUAACAGAGGGAAACCUCUGCUAAUACCCCAUAACCCUUCUUAUCAUAAGAUAAGUUGGCAAAGUUUUUUCGCUUAAGGAUUGGCCUGUAUAGUAUCAGCUUGUUGGUGAGGUAAUGGCUCACCAAGGCUAUGACGCUUAACUGGUCUGAGAGGAUGAUCAGUCACACUGGAACUGAGACACGGUCCAGACUCCUACGGGAGGCAGCAGUGGGGAAUAUUGCACAAUGGGGGAAACCCUGAUGCAGCAACGCCGCGUGGAGGAUGACACUUUUCGGAGCGUAAACUCCUUUUCUGUUAGAAGAUAAUGACGGUAUAACAGGAAUAAGCACCGGCUAACUCCGUGCCAGCAGCCGCGGUAAUACGGAGGGUGCAAGCGUUACUCGGAAUCACUGGGCGUAAAGAGCGUGUAGGCUGUUUAGCAAGUCAGAAGUGAAAUCCUAUAGCUCAACUAUAGAACUGCUUUUGAAACUGCUUAACUAGAGUGUGGG